rnacentral:rRNA from 1 species
GUCUAUGGCCAUACCACCCUGAAUGCGCCCGAUCUUGUCUGAUCUCAGAAGCUAAGCAGGGUCGGGCCUGGUUAGUACUUGGAUGGGAGGAUAAUGGCCUCCAGCUCCAUCCACA